rnacentral:miRNA from 1 species
GAUCUUGGAGCGGAUUGGGACGGU